UCAACCCAACGCUCCCGGAUAUGGUGGUGGCUAUUCCCAACAAGGAGGGUAUCCGAUGGGUGGGCAGCCAAUGUACCAGCAAAACCAAAACCAGGGCAUGGGUGCGGGCACUGGCGCUGCUCUCGGCGGGGCUGCGGGUCUCAUGGG
rnacentral:ribozyme from 1 species